rnacentral:rRNA from 1 species
GGUCGAUCAUGGCUCAGAUUGAACGCGCUGGCGGGAUGCUUACUAAUAUGCAGUCGAACGGCAGCACGGACUUCGGCCUGGUGGCGAGUGGCGAACGGGUGAGUAAUGUAUCGAAUGCGCUCAUAGCGGGGAGACCGGCGCGAAAAGUAGCUAAUACCGCAGCGAAUACCUUCGGGAAAGCGGGGACCUUCCGGGCCUCGCAACUGCUGAGCGGCUGAUAUCGGAUUAGCUAGUUGGUGGGGUAACGGCUCUGCACUGGCAUGACGAUCCGUAGCUGGUUUGAGAGGACGACCAGCCACACUGACCAGACACGGCCCAGACCUACGGAGGCAGCAGUGGGAAUUUUGGACAAUGGGGGAGAUCCCUGAUCCAGCCAUCCCGCGUGUGCGAUGAAGGCCUUCGGGUUGUAAAGCACUUUUGGCAGGAAGAAACGGCACGGGAUAAUACCCCGUGCAACUGGAUGUACCUAAAGCACUUUGUCAUCACGUGCCAGCAGCCGCGAAUACGUAGGGUGUUAAUCGGAAUUACUGGGCGGCGUGCGCAGGCGGUUCGGAAAGAAAGAUGAAUCCCAGAGCUUAACUUGAACGGCAUUUUAAUCACUGAGCUAGAUGCUGAGGAGGUGGAAUUCCGCGUGUAGCAGAAAUGCGUAGAUAUGCGGAGGUUCAUUCGACAGAAGGGGCAGCCUCCUGGGAUAAAUACUUUACGCUCAAGUGCAAUGAGUGCAGAGCAAACAGGAUUAGAUACCCUGGUAGUCCACGCCCUAAACGAUGUCAACUAGCUGUUGGGGCCUUCGGGCUCUGGUAGCGCAGCUAACGCGGUGAAGUUGACCGCCUGGGGAGUACGGUCGCAAGAUUAAACUCAAAGGAAUUGACGGGGACCUGCAAGCGGUGGAUGAUGUGAUUAAUUCGAGCAACGCGAAAACCAUCACCUUGACAUGCGUUUGGGAAUCCCGAAGAGAUUUGGGAGUGCUCGCAAGAGAACCGGAACAGGUGCUGCAUGCAUGUCGUCAGUCGUCAGAUGUUGCUUAAGUCCCAACGAGCGCACUCCGUCAUAAAGUUGCUACGAAAGGGCACUUAUAUCGAGACUGCCGGUGACAAACCGGAGGAAGGUGGCGACGUCAAGUCCCAUGGCCUCAGGUAGAAUAUCGUCAUACACGGUCGGGACAGAGGGUCGCCAACCCAAGAGGGGGAGCCAAUCCCAGAAACCCGAUCGUAGUCCGGAUCGCAGUCUGCAACUCGACUGCGUGAAGUCGGACCAGUAACUUCAGAUCAGCAUGUCGGGUGACGUUCCCGUGGUCGGUACACACCGCCUGUCACACCAUGGGAGUGGGGUUUUUGACCAGAAGUAGUUAGCCUAACCGUAAGGAGGGCGAUUACCACGGUAGGAUUCAAGGACUGGGGUGAAGUUUAACAAGGUA